rnacentral:tRNA from 1 species
UGUGGCAGAAUAGUGCAAUAAAUUUAAGAAUUAUUUAUAAAGUUUUCUUUCUUUAGAA